CAGAGUUGCAUGCUUCUUUUAACAACAAUGAAAUGAAAUACGAUUGUGAGAGAAAAAAAGAUAAACCUUAUAUUGCGCAACGUCGUUAUUAUCGGCGUUAUCAACAGCACCAGCAUGUAGACAUUGUUCCAGUGUACGUCGACACACAAACCCACAAGCGACAGACACGCGAAUUGUGAUAAUUACCCAUAUAAUUAUUUCCCAUUGAGCUACCAGCUUUCUCCGAUAGUUUGAAAUGAUGGGAGAGAAAAAGAAAGUACCCGAUAAAAGGAGAGCGUAAUAAAUUAAACUAUAUUUGCGCAUGUAAUUAUCUGUCAGAGUUAUAUGGCACACAUGGGUCGCGUGGUAAUAGCGUUUCUACUUUCACGGUGGUUGAAUAUCUGUGAAGCAGAAUUUGAGAUGCAAAAUCACUGGAGUACUGACUUCAGCUUUGUUUAACCUUUUGUCAUUUGCUCAGCUUCAGAAAAAUGUUGCCAUAUAUGUC